rnacentral:rRNA from 1 species
CCCAAGAGAUCGGGAUAACACCUGGAAACAGAUGCUAAUACCGGAUAACAACAGAUGAUGCCUAUCAACUGUUUAAAAGAUGGUUCUGCUAUCACUCUUGGAUUGACCUGCGGUGCAUUAGCUAGUUGGUAGGGUAACGGCCUACCAAGGCGAUGAUGCAUAGCCGAGUUGAGAGACUGAUCGGCCACAUUGGGACUGAGACACGGCCCAAACUCCUACGGGAGGCAGCAGCG